rnacentral:rRNA from 1 species
UACGGGGGGGGCAAGCGUUGUUCGGAAUUACUGGGCGUAAAGGGCUCGUAGGCGGCCAACUAAGUCAGACGUGAAAUCCCUCGGCUUAACCGGGGAACUGCGUCUGAUACUGGAUGGCUUGAGUUUGGGAGAGGGAUGCGGAAUUCCAGGUGUAGCGGUGAAAUGCGCAGAUAUCAGGAAGAACACCCGUGGCGAAGGCGGCUCUCUGGUACGUGACUGACGCUGAGACGCGAAAGCGUGGGGAGCAAACAGG